rnacentral:rRNA from 1 species
CCUACGGGCGGCUGCAGUGGGGAAUAUUGGACAAUGGGCGCAAGCCUGAUCCAGCAAUGCCGCGUGAGUGAUGAAGGCCUUAGGGUUGUAAAGCUCUUUUACCCGGGAUGAUAAUGACAGUACCGGGAGAGUAAGCCCCGGCUAACUCCGUGCCAGCAGCCGCGGUAAUACGGAGGGGGCUAGCGUUGUUCGGAAUUACUGGGCGUAAAGCGCACGUAGGCGGCUUUGUAAGUUAGGGGUGAAAGCCUGGAGCUCAACUCCAGAAUUGCCUUUAAGACUGCAUCGCUUGAAUCCGGGAGAGGUGAGUGGAAUUCCGAGUGUAGAGGUGAAAUUCGUAGAUAUUCGGAAGAACACCAGUGGCGAAGGCGGCUCACUGGACCGGUAUUGACGCUGAGGUGCGAAAGCGUGGGGAGCAAACAGGAUUAGAUACCCGAGUAGUC